rnacentral:rRNA from 1 species
UGGGGAAUUUUGGACAAUGGGGGAAACCCUGAUCCAGCCAUCCCGCGUGUGCGAUGAAGGCCUUCGGGUUGUAAAGCACUUUUGGCAGGAAAGAAACGUCAUGGGUUAAUACCCCGUGAAACUGACGGUACCUGCAGAAUAAGCACCGGCUAACUACGUGCCAGCAGCCGCGGUAAUACGUAGGGUGCAAGCGUUAAUCGGAAUUACUGGGCGUAAAGCGUGCGCAGGCGGUUCGGAAAGAAAGAUGUGAAAUCCCAGAGCUCAACUUUGGAACUGCAUUUUUAACUACGGGGCUAGAGUGUGUCAGAGGGAGGGGUAAUUCCGCGUGUAGCAGUGAAAUGCGUAGAUAUGCGGAGGAACACCGAUGGAGAAGGCAGCGUCCUGGGAUAACACUGACGCUCAUGCACGAAAGCGUGGGGAGCAAACAGG